rnacentral:lncRNA from 1 species
AAAAAAAUUCUUUUUGAUUGGAAAUUUUUACAAAAUAUACAUAUAAACAUAUCAGAGAACAUGAUAAAAUUAGAAUGAGGUUAAAUUUAAAUAAUAUAUGAUUAACAGCCAUCAAAAUUGGAGAAUGCUUCUGGAAGAUAUAUUUUAUUGCCCUUGUUUGCAAGUCACUCCCACUGAUGCACCACCUCCAAAUGACCUUGGACUAUCUCAGCUUACAAAAGCUACCUCUCUGUUUAUAAAUGAUACAGGAACUGCAUUUGUUUUGAUGUCAGGAAAAGAUUUAGGGUCGUCUGAAAUGCGAUCUCUUUAUUUGUUUACAUAAUUUUGAUAAGGAGAUAUCGGAUUACAUAAUAAUAUAUUGAAAGACAGCAACAUAACAUAGAAAAAUGAUAUUUUUAUAUUAUAGAGUAGAGACUUGUCAGAAAUAAAAACUUUAAUUAAAUUAGAUGAUGUAGAUUAAAAA